UGUUUUAUUUAUUCAUUGAGGGUUUCUGGUUAAUACUUAAUUGUAUUACUUAUUUAUUAACAAAACCAAUAGGUUAUGGGCCCAGACACAACUACAGUGAAUAAUUAUGAUGGUGUUAUAACGGCAAUAGAGACUCUAUCAGAAGAUAACUUGACAUUGGCUUUUGUAAAAACACGACUUCUUGACCAAGAAAUAAAGCUUCGGAAUAUUAGUAAGGAUACGAGUAUUAAAGUCUUGCAAGCAGUAGGUAACAAGGAGUUCAAAGAUGCAAAAUUUAACAAUAAUCCAAUGCAAAAGUUUAAGAAAAAAUUGUUCAAGCCAAGUUUCAAACCGAAACCAAAAUGUUUUCAUUGUGGUAAGCCAGGACAUUUAAAGAAGGAUUGUUUCUUUUUG